GGGAAUGUGGCUUAGUGGUAGAGUGCUUGCCUUGCAUGCCUGAGGCCCUGGGUUCAAUUCCUCAGCACCA
rnacentral:tRNA from 1 species